rnacentral:piRNA from 1 species
UGAUUUAAAUUUCUGGUUUGAUGAGGGUGU